rnacentral:lncRNA from 1 species
GGAGAGGCUAAAAAGUUCUUAUAAUCACCAUGUUUUGUAUAUGCUGUAGAUUUGUAAUUGUAAAUCAUGGUAAGUCGCUAUCUUACUAAUACAUAUGGCUUUUUUUGUUUUGACAGCUCCUGUUUGGCCAGAAUUAGAAGUGUGAUAGUGGAAGGUGUCAUGCUGGAUAUGGUUCCUUUAUCUUUAAGGGAAAAUUGCCAAAACAAUUUACAGAGACAUGUCAGCUGUGUACAGUGAGGAAAUGUCUAUCAUGUGGGACUGUGGAGUGGUGGAAAUAGGAAAUUCAAGUAUAGUCACACCAGUCUGUGGAAUGAUCAAGAGAAGGCUUUCUAUCAAGGUUGUGUUAUUUAUGUUUUGGGACAAUAAAGAUAUCAUUUUGAUGGGCUACUUACAAAAAAGGGUCGAUAGUAACUGGCAUAUUACAAGAAUUUGCUACAAAAGUUACAGGACGGUAUCAAGGAAAAAGACAUGGUUUAUUGUCAAAAGAUAUAUUGCUACUAAUUGACAAUGUACCUGCACACCAAGCUGCAGAAACUCUCACUUUUCUGCACAAAUAUGGCUCUAA